rnacentral:lncRNA from 1 species
GAUGUGUAUAUACGAAGUACAUUAUUAAUUUAAGUUCUAUAGCGUAAUUAUAUAUAGUAAAUUUGAGAAUAUAUAUGUUCUUAUAUUUAAUUAUAGCUAAAAUGACUUCUCGAUUCAUAAGCUAUGCAUCAAGUACGAGAAAGCUAACGUGACCCACAUGGUAUAUUAGAGCUUAUAAUAUAGUAGGAAAUUGCAAUUCGGAUUAUUUUUUUUUUUUUUUCCAUAUUAAUAUGUUAUAUAUAUGUAUGCAUCAAGAAUGUAUAUUGUAAGUAGCAAUGCCAUGCGUAGAUGACCCCUCAUGCACACAUGAAGAACAUCAAAUGGGUCCUCGCAUAUAGUUGUAUGUAAUUUAAAAUCCAAAUGAAUUUGUCCAAUGGUCGAAUCCAAAGAUGGAGAAAAACACCAAAUAUUACAGUUCAUUUUUUGU